GGACGAACGCUGGCGGCGUGCUUAACACAUGCAAGUCGAGCGGGUAAGGCCCUUUCGGGGGUACACGAGCGGCGAACGGGUGAGUAACACGUGGGUGACCUGCCCUUAGCUCUGGGAGUAAGCCUGGGAAACUGGGUCUAAUACCGGAUAUGACUCCAUGACGCAUGUUGUGGGGUGGAAAGCCUUGUGCGGCUAGGGAUGGGCCUGCGGCCUAUCAGCCUGUUGGUGGGGUGAUGGCCUACCAAGGCGACGACGGGUAGCCGGCCUGAGAGGGCGACCGGCCACACUGGGACUGA
rnacentral:rRNA from 1 species